GGCAAGUAUAGCUCAGAAGCUGUGCAUUGCCUGUGCAGACGAUACCUCCCAUAAAUCCACUAGCCAGCUUCAUGAAGUGCUUCUGCAUCGUGAGUCACUAAGCGCCAUGUCAUUUGUGAAAGAAUGCAGGUUCUGCCUAUCCUGGUGGUUUCUUCAGUGGUAGUCUGUGUGACUGGAGAAUUCAGACCACAUAGGAUACUUUCUUUCUAGAUUUAUUUUCUUAGGUUUUCUUAGGAUGGCACAGUAUUUGAUUUCUGUAGCUGGUAUUGGGGAACUAAGUACCAUCCUGCUUGAGGACGCUACCCACCUUGUCAAGAUUUGUCGUUUUAACCUUGCUGAUCCACAGAAGACAGGGCAGCUAAAAUCAUCCAAUGUAGUGGCUGAAGGUCUAAGGAGAAUACUGUGGAUAAAGCUCAGGGCUUGACUGAUACCAGGUGCAAGACACAUUUUAUAUGAUGCUGGAUACUGCAUCCACUGCUGAGAAAAAGACCCAGCAAGACCAAAGUUGCUGUGAAAAUUGAUGUUUUACAGAAAAUAAACUGUAACAGAUUAGACUUGGCUUGCCUAUGGUUUAAUGAGAAUGUAUACAUUUGUUUGAUAUGCUGUCAUUAACACCAAAGUUUCUUAUUAUUGAUAUUUUAUUAAAAUAUAUCUGUUUCCUUU